GGAUUGUGGCUCAGUGGUAGAGUGCUUGCCUAGCACGUGUGAGGCACUGGGUUCCAUUCUCAGCACCA
rnacentral:tRNA from 1 species